UACGGGGGGGAGCAAGCGUUGUUCGGAUUUACUGGGCGUAAAGGGCGCGUAGGCGGUCAGCACAAGUCAGUUGUGAAAUCUCCGGGCUUAACUCGGAAAGGUCAACUGAUACUGUGCGACUAGAGUGCAGAAGGGGCAACUGGAAUUCUCGGUGUAGCGGUGAAAUGCGUAGAUAUCGAGAGGAACACCUGCGGCGAAGGUGGGUUGCUGGGCUGACACUGACGCUGAUGCGCGAAAGCCAGGGGAGCGAACGGG
rnacentral:rRNA from 1 species